rnacentral:piRNA from 1 species
AACUUUUAUGAGAAAAGAGGCUUAUGGGU